GGCGAACGGGUGCGUAACACGUGGAUACAUUCCGGGAAGCGGGGGAUAGCCCAGGGAAACUUGGAUUAAUACCGCAUGUGGUCGAAAGACUAAAGACGGGGAUCGAAAGACCUGUCACUUCCCGAUUGGUCCGCGGCCUAUCAGCUAGUUGGCGGGGUAAAAGCCCACCAAGGCUACGACGGGUAGCUGGUCUUAGAGGACGACCAGCCACACUGGAACUGAGACACGGUCCAGACACCUACGGGUGGCAGCAGUCGAGAAUCUUUCACAAUGGGGGCAACCCUGAUGGAGCGACGCCGCGUGGAGGAUAAGGUCUUCGGAUUGUAAACUCCUGUCAUGCGCGAACAAGGUUGCAGGGAUAAUACCUUUGCAAAUUGAUGGUAGCGCAAGAGGAAGAGACGGCUAACUCUGUGCCAGCAGCCGCGGUAAUACAGAGGUCUCAAGCGUUGUUCGGAAUCACUGGGCGUAAAGGGUGCGUAGGUGGCAUGGUAAGUCAGAUGUGAAAGCCUGGGGCUCAACCUCAGAAUUGCAUCCGAUACUGCUGUGCUAGAGUACUGGAGGGGUGACUAGAAUUCUCGGUGUAGCAGUGAAAUGCGUAGAUAUCGAGAGGAAUACCAAAGGCGUAGGCAGGUCACUGGACAGUUACUGACACUGAGGCACGAAGGCCAGGGGAGCAAACGGGAUUAGAUACCCCGGUAGUCCUGGCAGUAAACGGUGCAUACUUGGUGUGGGAAGAUUCGACCCUUCCUGUGCCGGAGCUAACGCGUUAAGUAUGCCGCCUGGGAAGUACGGUCGCAAGAUUAAAACUCAAAGAAAUUGACGGGGACCCGCACAAGCGGUGGAGUAUGUGGCUUAAUUCGAUGCAACGCGAAGAACCUUACCUGGUCUUGACAUGCACUGUGUCUCCGAUGAAAGUCGGAUAGAGUAGCAAUACUCGCUUUGCACAGGUGCCGCAUGACUGUCGUCAGCUCGUGUCGUGAGAUGUUGGGUAAGUCCCGCACGAGCGCACCCCUGUGAUUGUGCCACCCGUUUACGGAGCGCUCGAAUCAA
rnacentral:rRNA from 1 species